GAAGCUUCUUGCUUGCUAAAGGAAUGCUCAAGCCUCAAAAGCACAAGAGCAAAUGGGGCAAGAGGAAUCUCUUGCCCAAACUAAAAAACUGAUAAACCUACAAUUGAAAUGGGUGGGGAAAAAAAAGAGGACUCUGACUUUCCAUUCAGGUUGUAAUUCUUGCUGGAUGCAUGUAUUUAUUUGAAUUACCUAGUGAAGGACACUUACUUGCUGCAGAUUUGGGAUAAAUCACAGCAGGACAGUUCAGCCUUUGACAAAAUGGAUCCAGAAGGUAUUAUAACAGCUCAGCUACACAAAUAACAUGCAAGCAGAAAUCAGACAGAAGAUAUCCCACAGGCUACGGGUUGGGCAGCUCCGAUUAAGACAGGUGCCAUCUUUUUCCUGCAGUACAUUUUCUUCACUUCUCCUGUUCAUAUUUAACUUCAAAGUGCCCGGCUCAGCCGCAUGUGAAGCUAGUCUUCAGGCACUGUUAAUACACACGGAAUUGUUCCAACAUCGCCUACUAAGUGUUUGUUUCCAGUGACAUAAAGACAACUCUAACAACAAAAGUGGACUUUUUAGUUCAUUCUUAGGGAAGUAGGUCCAACUGGGAUCCUUGGAAGUGGUAUGGGAGGUGGAAAAGACAUCCGGUAGCCACAUGACGAGGCUUGUUUUGCUGACAGAAGGCAAACAGAAAUAGGCAAGCUGAAGAAAGUUUAGGUUUGUUUCCUCAGCCUUGGGCAUAAGCCUAGAAUCCAGAUGAAGUAAGCGUGUGCUGAGCACAAGAUUUCACUGAUGCAUAAAGAUGUCAUCUCACUCACAAAUCUUUUUGCUGAGGUUGCUCAGUAUUUCCUGAUGCAGUUAACGAGGUGAGGUGCUCUGUUUGGGAAUUCUGGCUAGGUCUUUGGAGCAACUUCAACUCCCUCUGGUAAACCAGAGGAAAGCUGUGAGCAGUAGCAGCAAGGCAGCUCUGGCUUCACAGGCUCCCAGUGAAUCACCAUGCCAUCUGCAGGCAAAUCCCUAGACUCCAUGUUUCCAUAGAUCCAGCAGCCCUGGAGCCACACUUGUAUAGCCUGGUGAACACAAGAGCUCCUAUUCCAGUAACCACUAUGACUUGGCAGUUUCUUGUACCUCAGAGCAGGCUGAGUGGAUUUUGUUCUUCUAACCCCAAGCUGCCCUUUCAUUUGGACAUUAUAUGGGUGAAACCAUGUACUCACACUCUGUAAAGUGCUUAUUUUACAUGUUGCUGUCAAAGUGCAAGCAGAGUUUACCACAAUACUAAUAUUUCAUCCCAGUGGCUUCCCUAAGAUACGAGCAAUUCAGUGAAACAAAACAUUCUCUGUAUCCUCUGAAACUAGUUUUGAAAGCCCAGAUGGCAGAAAAUACCAUUGGUUUUAAUUAGCAAUAUCCUUCACAUGAAUCCCUUAUUAACCAAAAGAGCAUACUAUAUUUCAUCUCACUUCCUCUAGUUUACUUACUACUGCCUCUCUUCUCUGUGGUUUACCAGCAGGAAACCACUGGAGGGGACAUAUCCAGAUAAGAUUAAACAACAUAAUAUUAUCCUCUUUACUAUAACCAGGCUGACAGGUUUUUUUGCUAGAUGCUGAAAUGAGAUUCACAGCCAUUUUGGCUUCCAUUCACAAAGGAAAGAAACCAUUCUUAUAAGUCCACAAUACUUCACUAAUUCCUGAACUAUUUCACUUGUGCCAAGACAUUUUAUUUUAUUUCAUUUUUUUUUCACUGAAAUGCACUUUGGGCAGUAAUCCAGGUUUACCCUAGUUGAAUGUAAUAGGAAGAAGAAGCAGGGUGUCCUGGAAGUGGAUAUAUCUCCAAGGGUAAGACUGUUACAGAGCAAGGUUGCUGUGGGUACUGCUCUGCUGAGUGGAAAGUCACCAAGUGGCUUCUUUCUAGUGGCAGUGGGACAAAAGUGUGCCUGGCUCCAUACAUUUCUAGCUCAGCUUUCUCCUGACGGUCUUUUAAUGGAUACAAAACUUCAAGAGUACAUAUGAGAAAAAAGAGGCAGACAGGAGAGGAAACAAAGAUGUUUUUUUCUUGCACCAUGCUAAUCUCAUUCUGCCUUGGAUAUUCCCAGUCCAAAUUUUUUAUGCCUUGUCAUGCUGGGUAACGUAUAAACUCCCUGCAGGAGCGUGAGUAGAGCUGCAUAAAGCCUGGGACAUUUGCAGCCAUUGUAUACAUCACUUUUCACUGAGACUGGAGCAAUAUUAACCAAUAGCUAACAUGGAUGGUCACUUUCUACUUGCAAAAUCUCCCACAGUUUUUUAUGGGAUCAGUACUGUUCUGCAGUUCUGGCAGAAUGCUGCUGUGGUCUUUAUCAGAAACCUUCAGUGUCUUGAAAAGACAUCUCUAAUCCCUUAGCUGUUUCACAGAUACUGAGACCACAUUAAUUCCUAAAGAAUUUCUCCUGCCAGGUAACAGAAAGUUCACCCAGUAAGGGAAUCUCCUCACUGUAAAUAGGUUGCAACAUCCAACUGCUGAGGAGGGAGGGGAAAAAACUGGAGUAAAUUGGCAUGACGAGGCGUGUGAAUGCAGUCAGCCAGGGAGAAAAGACAGUCUAGGCAUCAAAAGGCAGGCUGCUUCAGCACAUCUCCAGGGCAACUUCUGCUGGCAGCUCUCUUAAUGUCUGCAUCUUAGGUCAGGCAAACUGAUAAUAUGCACUAAAAUUCCAUAUAAUUAUCACAGAGUUCAGUUCUUAACAUGACCACUCCUCUUCUUUUUUUGGUGUUUUUUUUUUUUUUUUUCUUGGUUGCUAUUAAUUUGACAAGCAUGGCUACUGGGACUGACAUUUUCCAGACUUCGUAUUAGCACAUGACAAGUUUUGAAAGAUGAAAGAAAAUCAGCAGAGCAAUUAAAGCAUGUAAAGAUUAUUUUUCACAUGGCCUAGGCAAAACCUUUGCACUUGAUGUAGCUCCAAAAAAUCUGAAGUUAGAAACUAAACAAAAUUAUUUUUAAAAAAUACUUAGCUCUUAAUAGAAAAAUGUUCAGAGCUAAUUUUUAAGACAUUUGAAGGUUUUGGCAUUUCUUAGUUGGCAUUUUUACUAUGUUUUUUAAAUUUUUGUUUUAAGAUGCUGUAAUGAGAUAUAACUGGGUGGGUUGUUUCUCAAAUAGAAUAAAAGAUUAUACAUAUUUAGACUAGACUAGAUUAUAUAUAUUUAGACUAGUUCUUUCAAUAACUGAGGCAGGGUGAAGAAGAGAAGGCACUGUGAAAUCACUAUUGAUCUCACCGCACUGAACUAAUUUAUUUGGGAAAGACUUAGGACAGUGCUGAGAAGUAUGGAAAAUCCAUUGAUAGAUAGAGAAAUUGAUCUUUGUUAAGGACAUUCUACAGGAAGAAAAUUAGUUAAUAUUUUUUCAAUGUUCCAUAAAGUCCAAGACUUCAAAGCUCCAAAGGCCCAUUUUUGAUAAUCUACUCUGACCUCCUGUAUAUGACAUGUCAUUGAACUUCUACGAAUUAAUUUUUGUUUCAAUUAUGUGUCUCCUAAAAAAAAUUCCAGUCAUUAUGUACAUAUUCGCACAAAAGGAAAAUUUACUGGAGUCCCUGGUACAUUGUUUUAAUUACUUUCAGUCUUAAAAAUGUGUGCCUUAGUCCUAGUUUGAACUGUCUACUUUUCAGUUACUGUAUCUUGUUAUACUUUUGUCCACUAUACUGAAAAGUUCAUUCACGCUGAGUACUCAAUGCUGGUACUUACUGACACUGUGUUACUCCUCAGUCACUUCUUUUAUAAAGGAAAUAGAUACAGCAAUAAGAGUUUUCUGCUAUGAUCUGUUUCUCAUUUCCCAUAAUAAGUUUCGUGGUUUUUCUCUGAAUUGUUUUCCCUCUGAGCUCGUUCUAAAUUCCUGAAAUGUAGGAGAAUGUAGAUGCCAUACUGUCAAGAACCCCAGGGAGAUGCCUUCUGCAAGCAAAGAUCUUUGUUACAUUGCUAUUGAAGCAUUUCUGUUACUUUCAAAUUGUGCCAUUAGAAUCUAAGCUCCUAUUCCAUCUCACAUCUCUCAAUUUUCAUUUUAAAGUAUUCCAUUUGAAAUAGCAGAAAGACAGGAAACAAUCAUGGCUUAUUUUGUGGGCCUAUUAUAUAGCAUUGUUCUGCUGACCACCAUUUGGAGUGGAAAUACAGAAUAUUUUAAUUCACAGGAGGAAUCACAAAUCUCAGAGAAGUCAUUUGUUUUAGCUCACCAAACUAUUUCUAGUGUAAUCAAAAUGCAAAUUCACUUAGUUUUGAUGGUUCUCACAUGGCCCAAAGCUGUAUUUAACUCUUUAUCUUUGGUCUUAUGUAGGUAGGUGAUGAAGCUUUUCUUGGAUCACGUACACAUGAAACACAUUUCACCCCUUAAUCUGGCCGACAUGAGAGAAGGAAAGGUGAAUAUUCUUGAACCUGGGCCUCCUAAUAACCUCAGAACUUUUAGUUUUGUUCAGCACUACGACAUCCACUGAUAGCACUAUUUGCUACAGUUUUCUAGCUAACACUUUCUAGAAAGUGUUUUCUAGAAAACACUUUCUGCCCCUAAAAUUCACAAAAGAUGCAAACUGAGGAUCACUAGAUAAUCCAUGUUUGCUUUUAAUUUGGUGCCAGACACUGCUAGUAUCUAAUGUACCUACUGGUGGUCUUUGGAGAAGGCACCUGCUUCUGCUCACAGCAGAAAACAGCUGGAAAGAAUGAUAACUUGGAUUUAAUUGCUCAAAUGCUUAAAGAACUGGGACACACCCUGUACCCACAUAGUGUGUCUCCUGGUAUUUUUUAAUUGAUCUAUCUUGUCUUUCAUCUACCCCACAAGCUGUGGGCAUUUUUCACAAAUUAUCUCCUCUUUGUCAUCCACAGCUCCAUUUUCUGGUUUUGCAGCCUGCUAAAUUGGUAACAGUGUAGCAGGAAAGAAAGAGUUUCUGACUCAUCUGUCAUGAGUCAUCUAACAGUUUGGUGAGGUUUUGUUUUUCUGCUAUGACUCUGCACCUGGCACUUGGAGUAGUACAACAUUACCUUUAUGUUUCUUCUGACACUGCAUUAAAACUUGUGAAUUCAUUGAGCACCCUGCUCAGAAAUGAACAGGCCACAGAAGAAACCUUGCUAAUACCCUCCAGCUUCUUUGCGUUUAAGUUGUGAUUCAGACCUGAUUUUCUUCUGCACCAAUGAGCUAUUUGCACUACUCUGGCAGCAAGGCUUGGCACCCCAGGAGAGCCAGGGCAUUGUGAGCUUUGCUCAGAUGUGUGUCUGUUCUGCCCUCUUUGCAGGGGCAACAACAAGCUUGAGAAGUAAGUCUGGGGUAGCCAGCCCAAGAGGGAACAUUACAGCAGAUGCUUUAUUGCUCAGUUUGCUGUCUCACCUUGAGCAGCUCUGCUACCCACAGCUACUCAGGUGGCCACAGUGUGCAAAAUGAUCCAGCCGCUAGGAGACACACACCCUCUGUCAGGCCUGGAAAAGAGGUUUUCUGGGCUGUUUGAUCCCACUAGUGGGGCACCACAGGGAAAUUAUGACAGACACACAAGGCCUUAACUGAGUCUUGAUAUUGUCAGUUGUAGCCUCUUGAUCAUUAACUACUUGGAUAAUUGAGAAACUUAAGAAAAAAUCAAUUGGUUUGGGUUUUUUUUUUCUUUUUCCCCUCAGUUCUAUCAUUUGUUGCCUUUACUUUUUCCAUGUUUUGCUAGAAGCUUAUUUAAUGUGGAUUACUGGACUUGAGAGCCUGCCACUGUGGACAUUGGUUAACUGGAACAGACAGACAACCACAUAACCUUGCUCUUUUGGUGUGAUUGAAAGCUCAUUGAUGUUGUAGAAAUCUUUUCGUUUUCCUCAGUACGUUUUCUACUGAAGUCUUACAGCAAAAGUCUGAUAGAAAAGGAAAGAGAGGAAAGGUACACGGCUUUCGCAGCUUUUCCUCUUUGCAUGAAAAAUGUCACACUGGUUCAGAGCUUGGGUACAUUUACAAAUCACCAUGGAUUUGAUGUAAACCUGGGGAGGCUGCCUGAGGAGCUGUGCCAGCCAGGCAGUGCAGGACAGUACCUACCCGAGGGGUAGGUCUAUGCAGUCUGGUAGAGCAACAACCACAGGGCUGUGGUGCUUUCAGGGCACAAAGAUCCAUGCAGGGCUGUAUUUAGUCAAAUACAUUUCUCAGUGCAAACUUGGUCAAAAGCGUGUCUUUGCAUGAUGCCUCAGGACAAAGCAAACAUCUCCAUCCGCCUUUCUUUCAUGGUUUUCCUGCUUUUACUUCAUUUUACAAGUCCAAUGCUGAUGAAAUGAAAAGGUCCUUCAUCCAUUAAAUAGAUCCGUGAAAUGGUAGCAUUCACUAUGGGUUUUUGCCUGUUUGACUGGUCGCUUGAUAAUGUAAUUACUUUCAGCAUAAUAGCCAAAAAUGAGCAGGCAUGUGGAUUGAGUUUCCAGUUUUUCACAUACUUGGUAAAUGAAGUAGUGAUACUCAGGUAAUCUCCUAAUUGUUGUUGUUUUGAAAGGUUGGUAUUUUGAUAGAUGCUAUCUUCUAAACUUUGUUGAGCAAGAGUGACUGUAUUAGGAGACUUCCUCUGGCCUACUUUCCUUUUAACACACACAUUACAAAGGGAUAUUCUGGCUACUCAGAAUAUCUCCCUCAGUACAGUGAGCUGUACUGCCUCCCACCUGUCAAAACAAUGUCACUCCAUACUGACUUACAGAAAAACUGUAAAUUGGCUUUUGUUUUUGCACUGUGCUUUUCACUUUUCCCCAAACAGGAACUCCCACCUCAUUUUGCAUCUGCUCUUACUGUGGAUGGAACCAAGCCCAGAUACUGCAGCUAGUCCAGACCCAUUCCCUGUGAAACUAUCAGCAAAGCCCCUAUCACCUCUGAUGGGAACAGGAUCAAGCACAAGACAGAGAUGGAGAUAGUAACAGAAGAUAAGGACAUAUUCAAGUGCAUUUGUAUGAGCAAUCUCCCACAACUCUCUGCCAGCCUCACAUCUGUAGGCUCUGGACACUGGAAGAUCAGCCAGCACUGAGAAACCUCAAGGUGAUGUAAAACCAACAUGUUUUGCUUCUCGAAUAGUACCUAAGUUUUACAUCUGACAACAGGUUUCAUUUCUUACUCACUAUGUUAUAUCCCAUACAGAAAGAUUUGGAAAGGCAAGGAGCAGUGACAGAGUUGUUCCACUCAGGACAGAAUGUGCUGUUGAAACAGCAGACAAGACUAUCAGAAAAUCAAAGGGGAAUAGAGAAAUGAGCAUGGGGAGUGAACAGAAUUAAGUGUAUUGAGUGAGCCUGAAAAGAAGUUUACGUAAGGCUUGACAGUGACACACUUCUUCAUACUUAAUGUUAUGUUAGUAUAUGUAGGGUAAAUUAUUACUGACUUGGGGGCAUCAAAAUCACACCCAUCAGGCUCUAGAAGUAAGAAAGCUACUGUCUGGAAACAUCACCUAAAAUUAACAAGUCAGUGAAACUGCUUUAGCAUAGGCAAACAGGUCAAUCUGCUUUGAAUUUGUUAAGCAGCAAUGCUUUGAAAUGGCUGUGGUUGAUGCUUUUAAGAGUGAUUCCCAGAUAUGCUUUAGGAGCUAUGCUUGAAUUGAGAAAGCAUAUUAAAUGUAUUUCAAAAGAGAGAGCAUACCCAAAUUUAGCUUCAAGUUUUCUUUUUCAGUCAUCUGGCAGCAAUGGGAAGCCACGGUGGGCACAAUCAUCUCAUGUAGCUUAAGCUGCCCAAAAAAGGACAAGAAAAGUUAAGAAAAAGCUAUGCACUGUAUUUUGUCUCUAAAAUAUUUAUAGUCAAAGCACUAAUAUCUAGCCAUCUGCUAUGUUGUAUCUGAUGGUUCCUCCAGGUAAAUAAAAUAUUUGUUCAAUGAACUCAAAAAAGUUGACUCAAACCCUUUAGCAACUCUGAUUAUUCACCUCUGAAUUUCCUGAGAUGAACACUGUCUCUUUUGCCAGGAGGCUGCAAGUAGUGCAGAAUAAUGUGUACAUGCUACAUUUUGUUAAAUAAGCCUCACAACCAGCAUUGUGGAAAGAGGAAGAUGUAUAAAAAAAAAUUUGUGGAUGCAAACUUAUCAAAACUUGUUAUUUCAACAGCUCUCAGCAUGAAGAAAUGUACUUUACUGCAAAAGAGAUUUAUACUAGGACUAUUAAUUUAUCCUCUUUUUAUGGUACCUUUAUGCAGGUUCAUAAACUGAAGUUUACCCAGAAUAUAUUUUUUAAAUACUAAUAGCAAUGAAUAAGCAUAGAUGUAUUUGUGUCUGUGUGUGUGUGUUGUCAACUGUUUGAUUUGAAAAUUUCAAGAGCUGAGACCUACUAAUUAAUGCAGAAACCAUUUCCAAACUAGUGAAAUUGGAGUUCAAAAAGACAAUUCAGAUGAGAGAACAUUAAAAGACUUUCGUUGGAGUGCCUGUCAGAGCAGCGGAGUGUGCACCAGGAUUCCUCAUCUGCAUCAUGGUUAAGGCAUCCACUCUCCCAGACUGCACAAGGGGGGAGGAUGCCAACCCACCUCGCAGCACUGGCAGCCCUCUGCUCCUCAAACAAUGCCACAAAAAACAUGUUGAAGCCAAUGGUGGGCAUCAGGGGAAAAUCAAGAAACUCCCGUCUUCCAGACAAGAUAACAACACAAGGGGAAGAUGUGGAAAGCAUUGCUAAAAUGCUUGGGAAUGCUCAAAGUGAAGAAAUUGGGUAAUUAUUGACAUAAGGCUUAAUCGUCCUGUCAUGCCGGUAUUAUGACAGCAUAAUUCUGCUGACUAUGAAAGAGUUGCUUCUGAUUCAGACUGAACUAAGCUGAGUGGGAAUCAUGAUGAGAACCAUGAGAAAGUCUGAGCUUGAUGCUGAGCUUGGUACAUCUCUGUGUAUCUGAGUCAUGAACUGGCAUGAGAAUUUGGACUUGAGGAUUUUUGACUCUUCCUCACUCACUCUUCUGACUAGACAAACCAAGCCAGUACUCAAACUGCUCUCUGCAGCAGGACCAGCUGCACCGUUUCUGAGAAUAUUUGUGGUAGAAGUCACAAAUUUUCUUUUUUAUUUAAAUCUGCCAAUUUUCUUUAUUUU